AGAGUUUGAUCCUGGCUCAGAUUGAACGCUGGCGGCAUGCCUUACACAUGCAAGUCGAACGGCAGCACGGGAGCAAUCCUGGUGGCGAGUGGCGAACGGGUGAGUAAUAUAUCGGAACGUGCCCAGUCGUGGGGGAUAACGCAGCGAAAGCUGUGCUAAUACCGCAUACGAUCUCUGGAUGAAAGCGGGGGACUCGCAAGGGCCUCGCGCGAUUGGAGCGGCCGAUAUCAGAUUAGCUAGUUGGUGGGGUAAAAGCCCACCAAGGCGACGAUCUGUAGCUGGUCUGAGAGGACGACCAGCCACACUGGAACUGAGACACGGUCCAGACUCCUACGGGAGGCAGCAGUGGGGAAUUUUGGGCAAUGGGCGCAAGCCUGAUCCAGCAAUGCCGCGUGCAGGAUGAAGGCCUUCGGGUUGUAAACUUCUUUUUACGGAACGAAACGGUCUGCCCUA
rnacentral:rRNA from 1 species